AUUGAACGCUGGCGGCAUGCCUUACACAUGCAAGUCGAACGGCAGCAUGGAAGAGCUUGCUCUUCUGAUGGCGAGUGGCGAACGGGUGAGUAAAGCAUCGGAACGUACCGUGUAAUGGGGGAUAACGGUAGCGAAAGUUACGCUAAUACCGCAUACGACCUGAGGGUGAAAGCAGGGGAUCGCAAGACCUUGCGUUAUACGAGCGGCCGAUGUCAGAUUAGCUAGUUGGUAGGGUAAAGGCCUACCAAGGCGACGAUCUGUAGCGGGUCUGAGAGGAUGAUCCGCCACACUGGGACUGAGACACGGCCCAGACUCCUACGGGAGGCAGCAGUGGGGAAUUUUGGACAAUGGGGGAAACCCUGAUCCAGCCAUGCCGCGUGAGUGAAGAAGGCCUCGGGUUGUAAAGCUCUUUCGGCCGGGAAGGAAAUCGCACAGGCUAAUACUCUGUGUGGAUGACGGUACCGGCAUAAGAAGCACCGGCUAACUACGU
rnacentral:rRNA from 1 species